GAUGAUAUAAUAUAAAUAGUGACGAACAAAAUUUGUAAGCGCGAAUGUGCGCCAUUGUUGCCGCGAAAGUCGAAGAAUGACGGAAAUAGACGAAGUUGAAUUGUAGAAGAUGACGAAGUCGAGUGCAGACGCGAGUGCCAGUGCGGACGAUACAGACAUUGUGCGAGCAAGUGUAAUGAAACAGAGAACAUGAUGUUUGCGACGUAUUAUAAAUCUUGUUAAAUUUUUACUUAACUAUCGUUCGGAACGUUCUAUUCUAUCUCUUUUUGGACUGCGUGAAAACGGUGACUUGUGGACUACAAGUUUACUUAGAUAUCGUUAUAUUUUUUUUAUCUGUAUUUUUACAUUUUUUUUCACGCCAUUCUUUCGCGUGUCGUUCGGUCUUACAUCUCGACCGAUUCUGAUUGGAUUAGUUAUCACGUUAUUGCGUGUGUUCGAUAAUAUUUUGUGUUCUUUUAUGUGAAUGAUAAUAACGAUAGCGACACUGAGAGUAAUGGUAACGGUGACGGUAACGGUGGCGGUAUGAUCACUGACGUUUCGUUUUGGAUCGACUACGUCGCGUGUGUAUACCACCAGUUGCCUGUUGCAUAACUACGAUUUUACGAUAGGCAUCUUCUUGUCUCGUUCGACAUUCCACUGGACAACGAAUUCAUCAAUCAUUAACAAAGUCGGAUGUGAUUCGUUUUGUGAUUAACUAUUAUAACGAGAAAAAUUGCGGAAGAGAGAGA